rnacentral:rRNA from 1 species
ACGAUAACGGCGUCGAGCGGCGGACGGGUGAGUAAUGCCUAGGAAAUUGCCCUGAUGUGGGGGAUAACCAUUGGAAACGAUGGCUAAUACCGCAUGAUGCCUACGGGCCAAAGAGGGGGACCUUCGGGCCUCUCGCGUCAGGAUAUGCCUAGGUGGGAUUAGCUAGUUGGUGAGGUAAGGGCUCACCAAGGCGACGAUCCCUAGCUGGUCUGAGAGGAUGAUCAGCCACACUGGAACUGAGACACGGUCCAGACUCCUACGGGAGGCAGCAGUGGGGAAUAUUGCACAAUGGGCGCAAGCCUGAUGCAGCCAU